CCCUUAGAUGUUCUGGGCUGCACGCGCGCUACACUGACACACUCAGCGAGUCUCCUGGCCCGAGAGGGUUGGGUAAUCAUGUGAGCGUGUGUCGUGAUGGGGAUAGAAUAUUGUAAUUAUUGCUCUUCAACGAGGAAUUCCUAGUAAGCGCGAGUCAGCAGCUCGCGCUGAUUACGUCCCUGCCCUUUGUACACACCGCCCGUCGCUCCUACCGAUGGGGUGAUCCGGUGAGCUAUUCGGACCUUCGCUUCGUCGAUUUUCGGCUUUGUGAGGGAAAGUCUCGCGAACCUUAUCAUCUAGAGGAAGGAGAAGUCGUAACA
rnacentral:rRNA from 1 species